rnacentral:rRNA from 1 species
UACGAAGGGGGCUAGCGUUGCUCGGAAUUACUGGGCGUAAAGCGUGCGCAGGCGGUUUUGUAAGUCUGACGUGAAAUCCCCGGGCUCAACCUGGGAAUUGCGUUGGAGACUGCAAGGCUAGAAUCUGGCAGAGGGGGGUAGAAUUCCACGUGUAGCAGUGAAAUGCGUAGAGAUGUGGAGGAACACCGAUGGCGAAGGCAGCCCCCUGGGUCAAGAUUGACGCUCAUGCACGAAAGGCGUGGGGAGCAAACAGG